rnacentral:rRNA from 1 species
UACGUAGGGAGCAAGCGUUGUCCGGAAUCAUUGGGCGUAAAGCGCGCGUAGGCGGCCCGAUAAGUCCGCUGUAAAAGUCAACGGCUCAACUGUUGAAAGCCGGUGGAUACUGUCGGGCUAGAGUACGGAAGAGGCAAGUGGAAUUCCUGGUGUAGCGGUGGAAUGCGCAGAUAUUAGGAGGAACACCUAUAGCGAAGGCAGCUUGCUGGGACGUAACUGACGCUAAGGCGCGAAAGCUAGGGGAGCGAACGGG